CGAGGUUGUCGAGCACUUGCUCCUUUUUAUUUCCUCUAAAUAUCUUCUAUUUUUGCAUAGCCCAUGCCUCUAAUGCAAUAAUACUUCGGAAGAGUGAAUCUUACUGAAAUAAUGUCUUGAUCUUAGGAGCAUGAUAAAUCUCUCAACAAGGGUCUAACUCAUUUUGAACAAACUCAAUACAGAGCAGAUAGCUUUUAUAAUCAUAAUUAAUAUUUCAGUUUUAUCAGGCAUAUAAAACACUGAGGAUGGUAGUUAGAAAUUUGAAUAUUUUGAAAUAAAUUCUCCAAGCAACCAUGAUAUCAAGAAUAAGAAACUCAUACUCUACCAUCACAUAUUCCAUAUUGACUUAAGUAACACAGGGUUUUAAAAUGAUUUUAUACUAAUUGCAAGUUUUCAGGAAAUAUCACAGAUUG
rnacentral:lncRNA from 1 species